rnacentral:rRNA from 1 species
AUAAGCGGAGGAAAAGAAACCAACAGGGAUUGCCCCAGUAACGGCGAGUGAAGCGGCAACAGCUCAAAUUUGAAAUCUGGCCCUCUUGCGGGGCCCGAGUUGUAAUUUGGAGAGGGUGCUUCGGCGUUGACCUUGGUCUAAGUCCUUUGGAACAAGGCGUCACAGAGGGUGAGAAUCCCGUACGUGGCCGUAGGUUUUUGCCAUGUGAAGCCCCUUCGACGAGUCGAGUUGUUUGGGAAUGCAGCUCUAAAUGGGAGGUAAAUUUCUUCUAAAGCUAAAUAUUGGCCAGAGACCGAUAGCGCACAAGUAGAGUGAUCGAAAGAUGAAAAGCACUUUGGAAAGAGAGUCAAAAAGCACGUGAAAUUGUUGAAAGGGAAGCGCUUGCAGCCAGACUUGCUUGCAGUUGCUCAUCCGGACACACUGUCCGGUGCACUCUUCUGCAGGCAGGCCAGCAUCAGUUUGGGCGGCCAGACAAAGGCCUUGGGAAUGUAGCUCCCUUCGGGGAGUGUUAUAGCCCAGGGUGCCAUGUGGCCAGCCUAGAUUGAGGUCCGCGCUUCGGCUAGGAUGCUGGCGUAAUGGCUGCAAGCGGCCCGUCUUGAAACACGGACCAAGGAGUCUAACAUCUAUGCGAGUGUUUGGGUGUCAAGCCCGGACGCGAAAUGAAAGUGAACGGAGGUGGGACCCCUUUGGGUGCACCAUCGACCGAUCCUGAUGUCUUCGGAUGGAUUUGAGUAAGAGCAUAGCUGUUGGGACCCGAAAGAUGGUGAACUAUGCCUGAAUAGGGUGAAGCCAGAGGAAACUCUGGUGGAGGCUCGCAGCGGUUCUGACGUGCAAAUCGAUCGUCAAAUUUGGGCAUAGGGGCGAAAGACUAAUCGAACUAUCUAGUAGCUGGUUCCUGCCGAAGUUUCCCUCAGGAUAGCAGUAACGUUUUCAGUUUUAUGAGGUAAAGCGAAUGAUUAGAGGCCUGGGGGUUGAAACAACCUUCACCUAUUCUCAAACUUUAAAUAUGUAAGAAGUCC